UCUAAUUGUUCACCGAUGCUAAAAAUCAGUGUGAUAUUUUUACUAUUCCAAUGCACAUACAUUCUCAUGACUUCUAUCUCUCUCUCUCUCUUUCUCUCUCUCUCUCAAUCAACCAAAACCUUCAUCACUAAUUCUUUCUCUGCAUUCCUUCUCUUAAUUCCGAUCUCACGUCCCUCUCCUUCGUGUACUCAUUCAUGAUGGUGAGGCUUUGAUUUACGAAAUUUCUUCUUCCAAUUAAUUAUUCAAAGCAGAUCUCAAAUCCUUCUUGAGAAGGAAAAACAAUACACCUGCAACUGUAGUCAAUUGAAAACAGCGGUGCUAAAAGUCUGGUGAUGGUGUCGAUGUUGCGGUGGUUGGAGCUGUUGUGCACCUAUGAUAUUAUCUCCCAUGAAAGUUUCUAAUAAGUCGCAGUCAUAUGGUUUCAUCUAUUUAUUAAUAUCGUGUAUAUUUUCUAUUGAAGCUUAUUUAGAGUUUGCUUGGUGAGUUUAUUGAAACCACAAUGAGUCGCCGUGAUUUAAAAAAAGGUGUAGCUUUUACGGUGACUUUGUCAAAGCUUAUUUUCUAUUGUUGUUGUUCUUUUCAUGUUCUUUUCUACAUAAUACACUUCUGUUAUGUUUGCAAUUUAUACUUCAGUAUAGAUAGUCAAAGAAAAUGGUUGUAAAUUUCACAACAUUGUUAAUUUGUCCCUAAUGUGACUUAUAUUGACGUGGUGAGCUAAGGUUCUCUUAUUCAUAUUUUUCUCUUCAGAUUUAUCUUUAUUGAAAUUGUUCACACCAACUAUAGAAACCCAUUCAUGAAUUGCUACUAUGAAAAUAAGCCAAUUUUAAUUUUUAAGCAUUUUAUGUGUUUUUGUAUGUGACCAAAUAUAGAUGUAAAACCAUCUCUUGGUUUUCCUUUUUAAGCAUUUUAUUGCUACUGUGGAAUUAUUUUAAUCACACCAAGUGUAGUUGUAAAAUCAUCUAUUGAGUUAUUGAUA